rnacentral:tRNA from 1 species
AUCUUUUUAGUAUAAAUAAUAUAAUCAACUUCCAAUUGAUUGAUCUUAAAUUAAGAAAAGAUA